GGAUAUAGCCAAGAGGUUAAGGCAACGGACUUUGACUCCGUCACCGAUGGUUCGAAUCCAUCUAUC
rnacentral:tRNA from 1 species